CGCGAUGGUGAGGCACUAGGGGCGAAGCGAGGCUUGGGCUGCUGGAGCGGGAAUGAGGGGGCGCCAAGUGGCUCCGGAAACUGGGGGAGGUUGUACUGGCCUCUCCGCAAACACAGUGUGUGCGGGCGUGAGGGCUAGGUUCCGGUUCUGUGGUGAUCUGGACUGUCCCGACUGGGUCCUGGCAGAAAUCAGCACGCUGGCCAAGAUGGUUGAGUGCACAGGGUCUAGUCUGGGUGGAGGAGGGGUGUUGGGGGUGGGGAUUGUGGGUGUAGAGGAUGGUGAGGUUUCUCUGGGGCUAGGGCCUCAGUGCUCUCAGCCUGUGCUACCAUGCUUUGUGACCUUGAUCAGUGGCUGGCCUGCUCUGAGCCAGUCCCCAGGAAGGAGGGGUGAGGUUUGCCAGCCUGGCUGAUGUAAGGACUUCCCUUCCAGUCCUCUGUGAAGUUGCGGCUGCUCUGCAGCCAGGUACUAAAGGAGCUGCUGGGACAGGGGAUUGAUGUGAGUACAAGAUCCAGCACCCCAUUGUCCCAUGACCUUAUGACCACCACUGCCCUGAAACUCUGCACUAGGCCCAGGGAGACGGGUGAGCCAGCCUCUCAACCUCUCUGGGCACCUCCCUUCCUUCUUUCCAGCCUGUCUGUUCCUUAUCGCAGGAUCCAGGCUGGGGGUGAGGGGCUGGUGAGCAGGGGCCUGGCACCCCCUGAAGGUCUCCUUUCCCCAUAGUAUGAGAAGAUCCUGAAGCUCACGGCUGACGCCAAGUUUGGUGAGUAUCCCGCUGAGUCUAUAGGCCCCAGGCAACCCUGGGAACUUGGCCUGGUGCCUGGUACAGAGGGGCCCCCCACCCCUCCCAGCAGCAUCCUUAACUUACCUUCCCUAGUGGAGGAGCAUGAGGGAAAGAAAGACCGACAGUCCCACCUUCCUGUCCUCUGCCAGCUCCUGGUGGAGCAGUAGCAGUGCCUGUGGCUCCAGGAGGCCUGGGGGCUUUGAGCUAAAGUUAAUAGGGCAACAGGGAGGUGGCUGGACCCACAGUGACACCCCCUGCCCCACCCACGGGUCCCUCAGAGUCAGGCGAUGUGAAGGCCACAGUG
rnacentral:lncRNA from 1 species